rnacentral:rRNA from 1 species
UAAGGAAUAUUGGACAAUGGAGGCAACUCUGAUCCAGCCAUGCCGCGUGAAGGAAUAAGGCCCUAUGGGUUGUAAACUUCUUUUAGACGGGACAAAACCCCUUUACGUGUAAAGGGUUGAUGGUACUGUCAGAAUAAGCAUCGGCUAACUUCGUGCCAGCAGCCGCGGUAAUACGAAGGAUGCAAGCGUUAUCCGGAAUUAUUGGGUUUAAAGGGUGCGUAGGUGGACUAAUAAGUCAGUGGUGAAAGCCUGCAGCUUAACUGCAGAAUUACCAUUGAUACUGUUAGUCUUGAGUACAGUUGAGGUAGGCGGAAUGUGUCGUGUAGCGGUGAAAUGCUUAGAUAUGACACAGAACACCGAUUGCGAAGGCAGCUUGCUAAGCUGUAACUGACGCUGAGGCACGAAAGCGUGGGGAGCAAACA